rnacentral:rRNA from 1 species
AACGAACGCUGGCGGCAGGCCUAACACAUGCAAGUCGAACGAGAAGCCACCUUCGGGUGGUGGACAGUGGCAGACGGGUGAGUAACGCGUGGGAACGUGCCUUUCGGUUCGGAAUAACCCAGGGAAACUUGGGCUAAUACCGGAUACGCCCUUCGGGGGAAAGAUUCAUUGCCGAAAGAUCGGCCCGCGUCGGAUUAGCUAGUUGGUGGGGUAAUGGCUCACCAAGGCGACGAUCCGUAGCUGGUCUGAGAGGAUGACCAGCCACACUGGGACUGAGACACGGCCCAGACUCCUACGGGAGGCAG